ensembl:lncRNA
UUCAAACUGUGAGGCACGUUCUCGAGGAAGACGGUACGAUGAGUCAUGUCUGUGGACGGACGGGGCUACUCUGCCUGCAGCGUGCAAUCCACUGAGGUUCUCUUUUUGCAUUGUAACUUCCUAAAUGUAACGCUUACUCUACGUCUGACAUUUUUUUUUACUCUGAACAUUCUGAACAUCUCUCUCUCUCUCUCUCUCUGCGUUCAAUCCACUCUCUUUUUCAAUCUCUCACUCUCUCUCUGUGUUCUUUUUUUUUUUUUUUUUUACUCUUUCGGAGCCCGUCGAUCUUGAGUCGAGCGACACUUGGGUGUAUAUUUGUAUGCUGCUGUGUAUACUGAUGUAAAUGUUUGCGUUCCACUACCACUGUGAUCUGCUUCUAGGGGUAGCAAAGGGGUUGGGGGGGAUGUACACUACUAUAUACGUGGGGUGCAAGACUUCUUUUUUUUUUUGUUUGGGUUUUUCUUUAACAGGGAAUGCAAGAGCUAUAGGGAGUUCUUUCAAAAAGCAGUCACUCACUACAAAGAAUGCACUUUCUACUUCUCUAUAUCGCAUUGGCUGCAUCACAGGGUCUCUCUCAAACUCUCACUCUCUUUUCAUCAGCCUCUUUACAUUUGCUGUUUAAAAUAUCAGGUAAAAGCAUUUGCCGUCUCAUUUUCUAAAGAUUUGUGUACAGUCUACAAAUAUAUUUAACAAUAGAAGAGUAUAUAAAUCUAUUUACGUUUUGUGUCAUAGAUAUAAUGUAAAGUAUUAUGUAUUCUAUGCCAAGGUUUCGCAAGUAUUGCCCUCUUCACUUUGUGGACGCAAGGUCUUUUGGCGUGUUGAACCCAACAACACAUAUAUGGAAAAAGAACAACCCCCCCUCCAAAUUAACAGUCAGUUACUACUGGUUUACAUUACGUCCGACCAAUAGAUUCUUUCCUGCUGUGUGUUGCAUGGGAAAAGCCUGGGGACUGAUUUGAUUGGAUAGGGUGAUAUUGUGGAUCAAUAUUGUUUCUUCUCUACCCCCCUCCCACUCACCCAUCCUUUCACAAUUGCAAGAUAAUUAGACUUGUAGCGCAUGAUACAUGCAAAAGUACUGUUAACAAUUGAGUUGUGUUUACCCGAACCCUCCCAAACCCCAACGUGUUCAUUCAUUAUUUACGUUGUUUUAUGUUGUUCUUAUGAAGUGUUUGAAGACACACACUGUACAAUAACUAAGGGUGGGGUUAUUUGUGCUACUCAGUGGUUCAUUAAAUGCAAUUUAAGAUACUUACAAUGUUCAUAUGAUUUGGAUACAUAGGAGUCACACUAAAGGAGCCGGUUUAACAUACCGAAAGACAGUAUCUUCUGCACUCGAACUGUUUACACAUACACAUUCCCUCUUAGAACCGGAUUGUCACAGGGCGGAAGCAGCCGAACAAACCAAUGGUAGGUAAGAUGGAUGAAUCAUUUUAUUUGCAAUUUAAGAACCAUGACUCAACAGCUCCUCUAGUGGCAACACACUGAGAUACAUGAGUAGCAAACGCUGCCCUUUGGGGGAAAAUACAUUUGUACUCAUUGUUCAUAUUUAGACUUUAUUUAUCCUUUUCUAUCACAUUGUAGUGGGAUCCACCACGAACAACAGAUAUUGUUUUGAACAAAUAAAUAAAAGGUUAAUUUGAGAGUAUGCCACUAAGAGACUUAAUGAUGCAAGCACUUUCCCUGUGCCUCCCCACCCUUUGUGUGGCAACGAUGGACAGACUACACUGGUAUUCCUACUACACACACACACACACACACACACACACACACACACACACACACACACACACACACACACACACACACACACACACACACACACACACACACACACACACACACACACACACAAGCAUGCACACACACAAACAAGCAUGCACACACUUUAACACGGCAGUAGUGUUACCAUAUCGUAUCUACACAGACGCACACACACACACACACACACACACACACAAACACACACAUGCACAACACACACACACACACACACACACACACAAAGGUAUGCUCACACAACAACAAGCAUGCACACACAGUAAAAUACACAAACACACAACCACACACACACACACACACACAAACACACACACACACACACACACACACACACACACACACAUAGAAACCCUGCAGAAGUAUGACUAUACUGUAUCUGUCUGCAGGCCAUUCUCUGUGUCUCAUGUCUGCCGUUGGAUCUACUAUUUUCCAACCAGGCUGCUCUUUGGAGCAGGUGACAUACUGUAGAUUUAGUGUGAGUUAUGAUUUGUACACAGGCUGUGCUAUUCCUCCCAGAUCGUUGUGUGUGUUUAGAAUUGCAGAAAAAGAAAGACAAGACAGAAAUGAAGGGAAAAAGGAAGUCAGAAAGGGAGAUUCCACUGUGUUCUUUAAGGGGUGUACACCUCACAGUACAUUGCACAGGUGUGUAAGAUGUAAGUUGCACUGCGACAUUAAAAAAGGACAUAUUGCUCUUUUUCAAGGAUUAUAUUAGCUUACUGUUAUUCUGUACAUUAAACUGAUUAAAGAAGAAAUUAAAAAAGAAAGAAAAUUACAUUUAUUCUUCCUAAAGUAGCCUUUUUUGGUUUCAUAUAUAUGAAUAUAUAUUACAAAAAAAUACAGAUUGUAAACUUAAGUUGUUAAACUUUGACUUCAAUAAACUAAAUUAUCUGCACUAUGA